GCAAGUCGAACGCGUCUCCGUUAAUGAUUUUAGGUGCUUGCACUUGAAAGAUUUAACAUUGAGACGAGUGGCGAACUGGUGAGUAACACGUGGGUAACCUGCCCUUGAAGUAGGGGAUAACACUUGGAAACAGGUGCUAAUACCGUAUAACAACCAAAACCACCUGGUUUUGGUUUAAAAGACGGCUUCGGCUGUCACUUUAGGAUGGACCCGCGGCGUAUUAGCUUGUUGGUAAGGUAACGGCCUACCAAGGCGAUGAUACGUAGCCGACCUGAGAGGGUAAUCGGCCACAUUGGGACUGAGACACGGCCCAAACUCCUACGGGAGGCAGCAGUAGGGAAUCUUCCACAAUGGACGAAAGUCUGAUGGAGCAACGCCGCGUGAGUGAUGAAGGGUUUCGGCUCGUAAAACUCUGUUGUUGGAGAAGAACAGGUGUCAGAGUAACUGUUGACAUCUUGACGGUAUCCAACCAGAAAGCCACGGCUAACUACGUGCCAGCAGCCGCGGUAAUACGUAGGUGGCAAGCGUUGUCCGGAUUUAUUGGGCGUAAAGCGAGCGCAGGCGGUUUUUUAGGUCUGAUGUGAAAGCCUUCGGCUUAACCGGAGAAGUGCAUCGGAAACCGGGAGACUUGAGUGCAGAAGAGGACAGUGGAACUCCAUGUGUAGCGGUGAAAUGCGUAGAUAUAUGGAAGAACACCAGUGGCGAAGGCGGCUGUCUGGUCUGUAACUGACGCUGAGGCUCGAAAGC
rnacentral:rRNA from 1 species